ensembl:misc_RNA 7SK 7SK RNA
GGAUGUGAGGGCGAUCUGGGUUGUGACAUCUGUCACCCCGUUGAUCACCAGGGUUGAUUCAGCUGAUCUGGCUGGCGAGGCGGGUGUCCCUUUCCACCCUCACCGCUCCCAUUUGUGUCCCUCUAGAGCUGAGCCCUGGGUCCAAAAGGACGACCUUCCCCAUGGAGGAGGACUGUUCUUCUUCCGGGGGUAUAGGAGUAGCUGCGUUGCUCCUGCUAGAACCGCCAGAUAAACUCUCAAGGUCCAUUUGUAGGAAAACGUAAGGUGGUCAAGCUUCCAAGGCUCUAGACACACCCGAAUGAGGCACUGUGUGUGGCAGUCUGCUGCCUUGC